UACGAAGGGGGCUAGCGUUGUUCGGAAUUACUGGGCGUAAAGCGCACGUAGGCGGAAUUGUAAGUCAGGGGUGAAAUCCCGGGGCUCAACCUCGGAACUGCCUUUGAUACUGGGAUUCUCGAGUCCGGUAGAGGUGGGUGGAAUUCCUAGUGUAGAGGUGAAAUUCGUAGAUAUUAGGAAGAACACCAGUGGCGAAGGCGGCUCACUGGACCGGUACUGACGCUGAGGUGCGAAAGCGUGGGGAGCAAACAGG
rnacentral:rRNA from 1 species